CUUACAUAUACAACUCUGAAUGGCUGAAAAAAAGAUUAGCACAAGACAGUUGCGAUGAGUAAUCUAUUCUCAGAAGUGAAAGCCAAACACCAACAAGCUACCAACAGAAGUUAUAAAGAAAAGUGCUGCUGCAGAGAAAGCUGCAUGGCAGUGAGAAGCAGGAGAGGAAAGCAAAGAUUACAUAUCACUUUGACCAAACACAUGAAGAGAUGGAGUUUUGCACUUUCAUGUUCGACUUUCUCUAUUGGGACUACCUGCCCUGGUGUUCCUUUUGAUUCACCUUGUGCCAGCAACAAUUGCUACUCCUCAGUAGCCUUGGGAAGAGAUGAAGAGGUUAGAAAGGAGGCAUGUGGAUGUUAAAAAAUUGUUUUUCCUGGAAAUUCGGCUAUAUGAUACCGCAGGGAUGAAGGUA